ACACUCAGAGUUCGAUCCUGGCUCAGAACGAACGCUGGCGGCAAGCUUAACACAUGCAAGUCGAACGGAUUUUUGUCGUAGCUUGCUAUGAUAAAAAUUAGUGGCAGACGGGUGAGUAAUGCAUAGGAAUCUACCUAGUAGUAUGGGAUAGCCACUAGAAAUGGUGGGUAAUACUGUAUAAUCCCUGCGGGGGAAAGAUUUAUCGCUAUUAGAUGAGCCUAUGUUAGAUUAGCUAGUUGGUAGGGUAAAGGCCUACCAAGGCAGUGAUCUAUAGCUGGUCUGAGAGGAUGAUCAGCCACACUGGAACUGAGAUACGGUCCAGACUCCUACGGGAGGCAGCAGUGGGGAAUAUUGGACAAUGGGCGCAAGCCUGAUCCAGCUAUGCCGCGUGAGUGAGGAAGGCCUUAGGGUUGUAAAACUCUUUCAGUGGGGAAGAUAAUGACGGUACCUACAGAAGAAGUCCCGGCAAACUCAAGAAUUGGA
rnacentral:rRNA from 1 species